CCUACGGGGGGCAGCAGUGGGGAAUAUUGCACAAUGGGCGCAAGCCUGAUGCAGCCAUGCCGCGUGUGUGAAGAAGGCCUUCGGGUUGUAAAGCACUUUCAGCGGGGAGGAAGGCGGUGAGGUUAAUAACCUCAUCGAUUGACGUUACCCGCAGAAGAAGCACCGGCUAACUCCGUGCCAGCAGCCGCGGUAAUACGGAGGGUGCAAGCGUUAAUCGGAAUUACUGGGCGUAAAGCGCACGCAGGCGGUCUGUCAAGUCGGAUGUGAAAUCCCCGGGCUCAACCUGGGAACUGCAUUCGAAACUGGCAGGCUAGAGUCUUGUAGAGGGGGGUAGAAUUCCAGGUGUAGCGGUGAAAUGCGUAGAGAUCUGGAGGAAUACCGGUGGCGAAGGCGGCCCCUGGACAAAGACUGACGCUCAGGUGCGAAAGCGUGGGGAGCAAACAGGAUUAGAUACCCGGGUAGUC
rnacentral:rRNA from 1 species